AAAUUGAAGAGUUUGAUCAUGGCUCAGAUUGAACGCUGGCGGCAGGCCUAACACAUGCAAGUCGAACGGUAACAGGAAACAGCUUGCUGUUUCGCUGACGAGUGGCGGACGGGUGAGUAAUGUCUGGGAAACUGCCUGAUGGAGGGGGAUAACUACUGGAAACGGUAGCUAAUACCGCAUAAUGUCGCAAGACCAAAGAGGGGGACCUUCGGGCCUCUUGCCAUCGGAUGUGCCCAGAUGGGAUUAGCU
rnacentral:rRNA from 1 species